rnacentral:rRNA from 1 species
GUAUGCAACCUACCUUAUACAGGGGUAUAGCCCGGAGAAAUUCGGAUUAAUCCCCCAUGGUACUGAGACACCGCAUGGUGCUUCAGUUAAAGCUUCGGCGGUAUAAGACGGGCAUGCGUCCUAUUAGCUAGAUGGUAAGGUAACGGCUUACCAUGGCUACGAUAGGUAGGGGGCCUGAGAGGGUGGUCCCCCACACUGGUACUGAGACACGGACCAGACUCCUACGGGAGGCAGCAGUGAGGAAUAUUGGUCAAUGGGCGCAAGCCUGAACCAGCCAUGCCGCGUGCAGGAAGAAUGCCCUAUGGGUUGUAAACUGCUUUUAUUUGGGAAUAAACCUUUCUACGUGUAGGAAGCUGAAGGUACCAAAUGAAUAAGCACCGGCUAACUCCGUGCCAGCAGCCGCGGUAAUACGGAGGGUGCAAGCGUUAUCCGGAAUCAUUGGGUUUAAAGGGUCCGCAGGCGGAUUUAUAAGUCAGUGGUGAAAGCCUACAGCUUAACUGUAGAACUGCCAUUGAUACUGUAAGUC